GAAAGGGACUUCGGUCCUGAGUAGAGUGGCGCACGGGUGAGUAACGCGUAGAUAAUCUACCUUCUUGUUUGGGAUAACCAGCCGAAAGGCUGGCUAAUACCGGAUACACUUUCGAAGGCGCGAGUUUUCGGGAGGAAAGGUGCCCUCUGAUUCAAGGUGCCGCAGGGAGACGAGUCUGCGUACCAUUAGCUAGUUGGCGGGGUAAUGGCCCACCAAGGCGAUGAUGGUUAGCGGGUCUGAGAGGAUGAUCCGCCACACUGGAACUGGAACACGGACCAGACUCCUACGGGAGGCAGCAGUGAGGAAUUUUGCGCAAUGGGGGAAACCCUGACGCA
rnacentral:rRNA from 1 species